rnacentral:rRNA from 1 species
UACGUAGGGGGCGAGCGUUGUCCGGAUUUAUUGGGCGUAAAGAGCGUGUAGGCGGCCAGGUAGGUCUGCUGUGAAAACUCGAGGCUCAACCUCGAGACGUCGGCGGAAACCAUCUGGCUAGAGUCCGGAAGAGGAGAGUGGAAUUCCUGGUGUAGCGGUGAAAUGCGUAGAUAUUGGGAAGAACACCGGUGGCGAAAGCGCCUUGCUGGGUCUGCACUGACACUGAGGGACGAAAGCUAGGGGAGCGAAUGGG